rnacentral:rRNA from 1 species
AUUGAACGCUAGCGGGAUGCUUUACACAUGCAAGUCGAACGAGUGGCGGACGGGUGAGUAAUAUAUCGGAACGUGCCCAGUAGCGGGGGAUAACUACUCGAAAGAGUGGCUAAUACCGCAUACUCUUGGAGCGGCCGAGAUCGGAUUAGCUAGUUGGUGGGGUAAAGGCUAACCAAGGCAACGAUCCGUAGCUGGUUUGAGAGGAAGACCAGCCACACAGGUCCUGAGACACGUCCCAGACUCCUACGGACGGCAGCAGUGGGGAAUUUUGGACAAUGGGGGAAACCCUGAUCCAGCCAUCCCGCGUGUAUGAGAAGGCCCUAGGGUUGUAAAGUACUUUCAGUCGGGAGGCGUUACCGACAGAAGAAGCACCGGCUAACUCCGUGCCAGCAGCCGCGGUAAUUC